rnacentral:lncRNA from 1 species
GUCCAGCUCAGCUUUCCAAGUCAGUAGGCUCAAGCACAAAAAGGAGCCUGAGGAGCAUCCCUCUGUAAGGAUAAAGUCCGCCCAGAUGGUAAGAGGCAGGAGGCUGAGAACUGACCACAGACAAAACAAGAAGAAAGCCACAGCCAAGAACUAGUGGGUCCAGGAUAAGGCCAGAGGCUGCAUUCAGGGAGGGUUGGGAGAACACAGCUGUGCUAACUGAAUCUGCAACAGGAUUCAUUCUUGCAUUUUAAUGGCAAGACCGCACCCACAUGGCACCACUGAGCGGUGCAUUACUUUGUGUCAGGUGGCCUGCGGGGCCCUGAUGGUGUAGAGUUCAGCCAUCCUGGACACAUAACCUCACAGAGCAGCUGAGCAACGAAGGCAUCUAAGCUGAGCAUGACUGGCUCUGCUGUGUGCCUGCAGAACGCAGGGACUGCCUUCCCAGCUGCCUCUGCGCAGCCAGAACCUUCCACUGAGAAGCCAGGCGCUUCUACAUGGUAGAGCUGAGCCAAGAACUUCAGACGUAACCAACGCACAGGACAAGCUCUGGGGACCGUGUCUCCUGAACGCACACGACACAAGCUGAGGGGAGCCACUCCUUAGAAACAAUUAAACAGGAAUAUUACAGGAUUCAGUAUCCCUCUUUGGGAACUGGUGGACCCGUCACCCCCAAAUGAAAUCAGCACUUCUCAAAGUGUCCUGUAUUUAUGGUAGCACUAGCCACAGUAGCCAGGAUACAAAAAAAAAAAAAAAAAAAAAGAAAAAAGAAAAAAGAAAAAAGAAAGAAAGAAAGAAAGACUUGUGAAUGGCUAAAGUUUGAUACACACCUCUAGAGAGAGGGGGAGAGAGAGAGCCUUAAAAAUUAAAAAUGAAUUUUAAGGAAUUAUAUCACAUUCUAAACAUGUGUAACAAACAAACAAAAAGGAGGAUGUUUCUUUGACCUUGUGGUUGUUUUAUAGGCUCCUCAUCAGAACACCUUAUAUCCUUAGCUGAGGUUCCUAUGUUCCCCAGAAACCAUAAGCCCCCUUAACUUUGCUCUGAUUUUUCUGACUGCUUUCUACACUUACUGAUAGUAGCACAACACCUUAGAAACCUGGAUCUUGAUGACAUCUGCACACAGCUUAAAGAGAAUAUUGGCUUCAACAUGCCACAAUUUAGACAUAUUUGGGGCUGGCCAUCUAGAAAUGGACUUUGGACUUGAAAUUCCCAGAACCCUCAGCAACACAGCGUCCCUCCACUCUGAUCCACAUGCUGUGGUCCAGGCGUAAGGUAGUGUGUCUGAGAGAACACUGUGAGGGACUCGGUCAGCUCACUGGACUCGGCUUCUCAUACUGUCUAAAUGUGAGCUCGGUGCUGGGUCUGUGUCCUGAUGACGCCACAGCCACUUCCUGUUGUGCAAAAACCAAGCUAUCAAGUUUGAACUGCUUUGAACUGCCAUCUUGAAUAUAGAGAAAUGGAGCACAGACGCUGGCCUGGUGCCCCCUUCUCCCAGUGUGAAGAAAUGGACGUCUGACUAGCAAGUUCCCUCUCAAAUUUUCAAGACUCCCAUAGUAAGAAAAGAAGAAAGCCAGAUGGUUCCAGUUUUGUUUGUGGAAGCAACCACAGAGGACUCACACUGAGCCCAGCUGCCUCUUCACCCUUGCAGGUUUCUGUGGGUUGUACCUGUUCCUCUUGGUUCUCCAUUGUUCCUUGUCCAUCAGUGGGUAGACAAACGUCAAUUAUUUCUGGUAAGAGGAAAAGAAGACUAACAUUCAGAAAGCCGUGCUGAGGGGACAUCCCAGAGUAUCUCAACCAUGGUGGAGUGCAUUUUGAGGAAAUGAUAGACGAUCUGGAUGAGGAAGGCAAGCAGGUUAUAGGCACUAUGUGGGUGCUGCUAGGAUUCCAAAUGAGCUACACACACAUACACACACACACACACACACACACACACACACCCCUUCAUACCUGUGAUUUGUGCACAUACAGCCUGUGUAAGUUCCUCAGAAGUCAAAGUUGAAAGCAUCCAUCUGUACUGUCCCGAGGCCACAAUCGUACCCUUGUCAUUGAUAGUCCUUGUCACAGUGUCUUAUGAUGUCUUCCUGGGUCAAAAUUUCAUUUUUCUCAGAGUAUAAUCUGAUGAACAGUUUCUAUGUUUUCCUAUAUUUUCUUCUGGGUUGACCAAAUAAUACUCACAACAUUUUUCUUCCUAUGAAUCAUAUUCAUCUGUGUGGCUGUGACAGUCAAGGGGCAGCGCCCAUGCUAUAGCCAGUGCCCAAGCUGUUGAGUAGAGACUCCAGGAGGCUGAGUCUCUGGGGUUGGCAAUAGACUAUAGGCACAUGAACUUUUCAAAUCAGUGAAGCACAGGUAGAAGUUAUACCUGCCACUCCCGAGCAGGUAUGAUUAGAGUAGUCAGGGGCCUCUGGCUUGCCUCUUUUUCUUCUGCUAGAAUACUGGCAGACUCCACAACUAUAUUGCCAGCUAUCUGAGGUCUGUAGGGAAAGCAGUCUAGAGACUGUCAGCAGCUGGACAAAGCAUGCUGGUUAGUUCAAAGUUCUUGUGUUUUGUGAGCAUUAUAUUUUCAUUGUUUGGUGCAUCUUAGUGUGUCUAGAUGGGCUAUUGCAGGCAAGCUUGGGGAGAGUGAGAGAUAGGCUCCAUCCUGGGUAUCUCUCAUGCCUAUCCCUUGCUCAAAUGAUGGCUGCCAGUGCUAGCCCACGUCACUAGGUGUGAUGUGGAAUGGAUGAGAUUGUGGCUACUGAUAGGACAUCAGUAUGAAACCCUGUCCUAUGUGGCUUUUCCUGGAGAUAUGUGAAGAGUCAUUUACUUAUUCUAGAAAGCAGCCCGCAUACUAAAGAAACUACCCCACCUGCGUAAAUGCCCUAAGCUGAUGUGUUUACUGGUGUUAACUUGAAGAAAUAUAGGUGACUCAAAAGCAGCUCUAUCACAAAAACUCCUACCUAAGCACAGGUGAUGACUUACACAUGCAACUUUGCUGAAGUGUAACCCAUUGUCAGCCUUCCACUUCCUGGAUCUUCAACCACUUCCCAAGUCUAUGCACAGCUGGGGGCAGGAAGAGCACAGAAGGAGUCUUACGUGAGGGUCUGGUGACACUCCAUUCUGCUGAGAGUGGAUAGUAACAGUUCCAGCAUCACUAUCACAGACCCAAUGAUUACUAACCCCUGCAUUGUUCUCUUACUUUGAAUUUUAAAAAUUAUAUUCCAUUUUCUCAUUUGUGUGUGUGUGUGUGUGUGUGUGUGUGUGUGUGUGUGUAGGCAUCUACAUUAUAUUGGUUGCUUUUCCUGUUGCUGUGAUAAAAUACCAUGACCAACUUAUGGCAAAGAGUUUAUGUGGGCUUACAGUUCCAAAAGGUUAAGAGUCCGUUGUGGCAGGGAGGUAUGGCCACAGGACAUCUCCAUCAGACAGCUGAGAGAUCAUAUCUCAACCUCAAGGCAUGAAGUGGUAGAGAGAACUGUAAAUUGGCAAGGCCAUGUACUCUCAAACCCCAUGCCCAGUAAGACCUCCCAAAACAGCGCCACCAGCUAGGCACCAAGUACUUAAAACCUGACUCCUACAGGAGACAUUUCUCAUUCAAACUACCACGUGUGGACCACAGCACUUGUGUGGAGGUCAAGAACAGUGUGUGAGACAUGAUUCUUCUCCUUCUACCAUACACACAAAUCAGGAAUGGAACUCAGAUCAUCAGGCAUGGUGGCAGCUGUCUUUAAAUUUUCUAUGGAGCUGAGGAUGCCCUUGAAUUCCUCAUCCUCCAAUCUCUACCCACCAAGUGCUAGGAUUAUAGGCAUGGACAACCAUGCCUAGCUUUAUUGUUGAAUAGUAUGAUUUCUGAUUCUUUCAUGGAAUUAUUUUUCAAUAGUGUUAUUUUUAACACUUGCAGACAUUCUAAAACGUAGAGCGAAGAAGGUGCUUAGUCAUCAUGCAAGUGUUGAAUAUGGAAGCUGGUUCCAGAGUUUAGCUGUUAUCAAUCGUGCUGCAUGCAGUUAGUAUCUGUGUACUUGCAGCUUCACGUAAUUGCAUGAAUAUUUCUACUGGCAAGUUCCCUGGGAAGUUCUUGCUGAUAAGAUGUGUACAGCAUGAAUUAUGACACUGGCUGCUUAUGGCUCUCUAUGGAUGCUCUAGCAAGAGCAUGCACUAACUUACAGGGAAUGUGUAAAGUAGCUUACUGCUCCCCACCCUUGCUCUCUCUUGCCCAACAGGACACUGGAUUGGUUCAAAAGAGUGCCUCUUCAUUGUGGUAGUUGCAGUACACUCCCUCCUUUGGAGUCAAGAGUAAGCCCAUGGACUGAAGGUGCAGUUUGGAAGUAGAUCUCUACUUUAAUUAUAUACAAUAUCCUGUACUCUGUUCCCAGGACCAUAUAAAAACAUAUCCGCACUGAAACAAAGACAUGUCCCUGUAGUCCCAACUACUAAGAAGGCUGAGGCAGAAGGAUUGUGAGUUCAAAGACAACUUGGGAUAGAGAGUGAGUUCAAGGACAACGUGGGCAACUUAGCAUGGUCUCGUCUUCAAACAAAAAUAAAAUUAAGUGUGAGGGUUGAGGCCUAGUGGUGUAGAAACCUGGGUGCCAACCCUGCUACCACAAAGAAUAGACCCACAUUGUUCUUGUUAGUGAAUGUUAUCUCUUUUCUUUCCCUUUCUUCUUCAUUUUCUUUUCACAUUUAUUUUUAUACCUUUUCCAAAGUUUCUCACAACCUAUUCUUUUCUGUAUCUCCUAGUAUUCCAGUUUUGUACAUCACAUAACUGUACCUAUAUUUCUUGUACAUUGAGUACCAUUUAAUGACUCUUUCCACCAAAUCUAUUUUUUUAUGCUUUAAAAGUACUUAGAAUUAUGUAUUUGACAUGUGUAAGUGUUUUGCCCACGUGUGUGUCUGUGCUCCAUGUGCGUACAGUACGCACAAAGUCCAGAAGGGGGCGUCAGGUCAUCUGGAACUGGAAUUACAAAUGCUUGUGUGCUGCCACGUCAAUGCUUAGAACCGAACCUUUGUCAGUUCCAAGAGCAGCCAGUGCCUGUUGAAGUAGCUCAGUCCCUGUUUCUUUUUCUUUAGAAUCUGAAGUUGCUGUGUC